AUUGAACGCUGGCGGCAGGCCUAACACAUGCAAGUCGAACGAGUGGAGGACGGGUGAGUAAUGUCUGGGACACUGCACGAUGGAGGGGGAUAACUACUGGACACGGUAGCUAAUACCGCAUACCAUCGGAUGUGCCCCGAUGGUAUUAGCUCGUAGGUGGGGUAACGGCUCACCUAGGCCACGAUCCCUAGCUGGUCUGAGAGGAUGACCAGCCAACCUGGAACUGAGACACGGUCCAGACUCCUAAGGGAGGCAACAAGGGGGAAUAUUGCACAAUGGGCGCAAGCCUGAUGCAGCCAUGCCGCGAUUAUGAAGAUGGCCUUCGGGGUGUAAAGUACUGUCAGCGAGGAGGCGUUACUCGCAGAAGAAGCACCGGAUAACUCCGUGCCAGCAGCCGCGGUAAUUC
rnacentral:rRNA from 1 species